rnacentral:rRNA from 1 species
AUUGAACGCUGGCGGCAGGCCUAACACAUGCAAGUCGAACGGUAACAGGAAGAAGCUUGCUUCUUUUCUGGCGAGGGGCGGACGGGUGAGUAAUGUCUGGGAAACUGCCUGAUGGAGGGGGAUAACUACUGGAAACGGUAGCUAAUACCGCAUAACUUCGCCAGAACAAAGGGGGGGACCUUCGGGCCUCUGGCCGUCGGAUGUGCCCAGAUGGGAUUAGCUUGUUGGUGGGGUAACGUCUCACCAAGGCGACGAUCCCUAGCUGGUCUGAGAGGAUGACCAGCCACACUGGAACUGAGACACGGUCCAGACUCCUACGGGAGGCAGCAGUGGGGAAUAUUGCACAAAGGGCGCAAGCCUGAUGCAGCCAUGCCGCGUGUAUGAAGAAGGCCUUCGGGUUGUAAAGUACUUUCAGCGGGGAGGAAGGGAGUAAAGUUAAUACCUUUGCUCAUUGACGUUACCCGCAGAAGAAGCACCGGCUAACUCCGUG